AUUAAUAAUAGAAUCAUUACUUAUUUAUAUUAUGAAUUUGGCAUAAUGUUUCUACAAGGUACCUAAUACCUAACAAUAAGUAAGUCUUCAAAUUUC
rnacentral:ncRNA from 2 species